rnacentral:rRNA from 1 species
UACGUAGGGUGCGAGCGUUUGUCCGGAAUUAUUGGGCGUAAAGAGCUCGUAGGCGGUUUGUCGCGUCUGCUGUGAAAUCCCGAGGCUCAACCUCGGGCCUGCAGUGGGUACGGGCAGACUAGAGUGCGGUAGGGGAGAUUGGAAUUCCUGGUGUAGCGGUGGAAUGCGCAGAUAUCAGGAGGAACACCGAUGGCGAAGGCAGCUCUCUGGGGACGGUACUGACACUGAGACGCGAAAAGCGUGGGGAGCGAACAGG